rnacentral:lncRNA from 1 species
CAUUUGGAGUAGGUUCUUAUUUAUCGCUUUAUUUAUUUAUUUCCCGCAUCGCUUUUAUUUUAUUUAUUUCCCGCAUCGCUUUUAUUUUAUUUAUUUUCCGCACUCGCUUUACUUUUUUUAUUUUCCGCACUUGCUUUACUUUAUUUACUUUCCGCACUCGCUUUACUUUAUUUAUUUUCUGCACUCGCUUUAAUUUAUUUA